GGCUGCAGCACGCGGUGCACGAGGCAGAGCCCACAAGCCAAAGACGGAGUGGGCCGGGCACUGCGGCCACGCCUUCCGCGGAGCAAAACGAACCUUCCACUGUGAUGUCUGCAUGUUCACCUCUUCUAGAAUGUCGAGUUUUAAUCGUCAUAUGAAAACUCACGCCAAUGAGAAGCCUCACCUGUGUCACCUCUGCCUGAAAACCUUCCGUACAGUCACUCUGCUGCGGAACCACGUUAACACCCACACAGGAACCAGGCCCUAUAAGUGUAACGACUGCAACAUGGCAUUUGUCACCAGUGGAGAACUCGUCCGACACAGGCGCUAUAAACAUACUCAUGAGAAACCCUUUAAAUGUUCCAUGUGCAAGUAUGCCAGUGUGGAGGCAAGUAAAUUGAAGCGCCAUGUCCGAUCCCACACUGGGGAGCGCCCCUUUCAGUGUUGCCAGUGCAGCUACGCCAGCAGAGACACCUACAAGCUGAAACGCCACAUGAGAACGCACUCAGGUAAGGGCUCUGGUGCUGAAGGCCUGAUACCUACAGUGUUAACUCUUAAAGCAAGCUUUAAAAAAUUACUUUUUAUUGGCACAAUUAAAGUUCAAAGGUAAAAGUGGAUUUUUGCAUGCCUUCAUGAUACGAGAAUCUUGAUCUGUACCUUUACCUUUAUUUAGCAGUAAGAGAGUCUGCAUAGAUACUGUGCCACAACCCCACUGUGUGGAGUAAAACACGAAGUAUUUGCUUCCAUAGAUUUUUCAGGUGAGAAGCCUUAUGAAUGCCACAUCUGCCACACCCGCUUCACCCAGAGCGGGACCAUGAAAAUACAUAUUCUGCAGAAACACGGCGAAAAUGUCCCCAAAUACCAGUGUCCCCAUUGUGCCACCAUCAUUGCACGGAAAAGCGACCUAC
rnacentral:sRNA from 1 species